rnacentral:misc_RNA from 2 species
AACGCACAUUGCGCCCCUUGGUAUUCCAUGGGGCAUGCCUGUUCGAGCGUCAUUUGUACCCUCAAGCUCUGCUUGGUGUUGGGUGUUUGUCCACUAUCGUGGACUCGCCUUAAAGUCAUUGGCAGCCAGUGUUUUGGUAUUGAAGCGCAGCACAUUUUGCGCCUCUAGCCUAGAACACUAGCGUCCAGUAAGCCUUUUUCCACUUUUGACCUCGGAUCAGGUAGGGAUACCCGCUGAACUUAA